rnacentral:rRNA from 1 species
UACGGGGGGGGCAAGCGUUGUUCGGAAUUACUGGGCGUAAAGGGCUCGUAGGCGGCCAACUAAGUCAGACGUGAAAUCCCUCGGCUUAACCGGGGAACUGCGUCUGAUACUGGAUGGCUAGAGGUUGGGAGAGGGAUGCGGAAUUCCAGGUGUAGCGGUGAAAAUGCGUAGAUAUCUGGAGGAACACCGGUGGCGAAGGCGGCAUCCUGGACCGGCAUUGACGCUGAGGCGCGAAAGCCAGGGGAGCAAACGGG